rnacentral:rRNA from 1 species
ACUAAAGUUGUUGCAGUUAAAAAGCUCGUAGUUGGAUUUCAUGCGGGGUUCACGGUGUGUGGGUGGGGGAGGGUGUGUUUUACGCGCGCCUUCUUCUGCCCUGCACUGUUUGCGCUCUGCAGUUUUAAUAUUCCCUGGUGGCGCCUUUGGCGCGUGCCCUUGAUUGGGUGUGUGUCAAGUCACGUAGUGGUGGGGCGCUGUUGGGGGCUUUACUUUGAAAAAAUUAGAGUGUUCAAAGCAGGCAGUCAUUUGAUUUGCUUGAAUAGAUUAGCAUGGAACAACGGAAGAGGACUUUUGGGCCUGUACUGUUGGCGUGUGGUGCGGGGGUGUGUGGAAGAAGAAACCGCAAGGUUUUCUUAUUCCUCCCUCACCACAUCGGGUCUGAAGUAAUGAUUAAUAGGGACGGUUGGGGGCACUGGUAUUUCGUUGUCAGAGGUGAAAUUCUUGGAUUUACGAAAGACCGCCGACUGCGAAAGCAUUUGCCAAGGACGCUUUCAUUGAUCAAGAACGAAAGUUAGGGGAUCGAAGACGAUUAGAUACCGUCGUAGUCUUAACCAUAAACGAUGCCGGCCAGGGCUCGGUGGGCAGCACAAAUGUUUCAACGCAUGGAGGCGCCAUCGGGACCUUUAGGGAAACCAAAGCGUUUGGGUUCCGGGGGGAGUAUGAUCGCAAGAUUGAAACUUAAAGGAAUUGACGGAAGGGCACCACCAGGAGUGGAGCCUGCGGCUUAAUUUGACUCAACACGGGGAAACUCACCAGGUCCAGACAUGGGAAGGAUUGACAGAUUGACAGCUCUUUCUUGAUUCCAAGGGAGGUGGUGCAUGGCCGUCCAGCUUUUGUUGUGAAAUCUCUGUUUGAUUACGGUAAACGGCGAGACCUUGACUUGCUGAUUGGUGUGCGCCUGCGUCAGCAGGCGUUGGAGAUUACGCGCAAGCGUGUCUCUUUCUUACACCACUCAGAGGGACACUCGGCGUUGCUAUUGAGCGUAAGCCGAAGGAAGUUUGAGGCGAUAACAGGUCUGUGAUGCCCUUAGAUGUUCUGGGCUGCACGCGCGCUACACUGACGGGGGCAGCGAGUAUGCUUUGGGUGUUUGUGGUGGGGAGCGUGAAAGCGUUUUUCUACGACAGACAUCUAUUCCUGCGCUGGAAGGCGUGGGGACUCUUGUGAAAACCCGUCGUGCUGGGGAUAGAUGCUUGCAAUUAUUCAUCUUGAACGAGGAAUUCCUAGUAAGCGCAAUUCAACAGAUUGCGUUGAUUACGUCCCUGCCCUUUGUACACACCGCCCGUCGCUACUACCGAUUGAAUGGUUUAGUGAGGCCUCGGGAUUGGCGCGUGGGCGCUGGCAACAGCUGCCCAUGUCAUCUUUUGCUGAGAACCUGGUCAAACUUGAUCAUUUAGAGGAAGUAAAAGUCGUAACAAGGUUUCCGUAGGUGAACCUGCGGAAGG